rnacentral:rRNA from 1 species
AUACCCGCUGAACUGAAGCAUAUCAAUAAGCGGAGGAAAAGAAACCAACAGGGAUUGCCCUAGUAACGGCGAGUGAAGCGGCAACAGCUCAAAUUUGAAAUCUGGCCUCGGCCCGAGUUGUAAUUUGCAGAGGAUGCUUCUGGCGCGGUGCCUUCCGAGUUCCCUGGAACGGGACGCCACAGAGGGUGAGAGCCCCGUAUGGUCGGACACCAAGCCUGUGUGAAGCUCCUUCGACGAGUCGAGUAGUUUGGGAAUGCUGCUCUAAAUGGGAGGUAAAUCUCUUCUAAAGCUAAAUACCGGCCAGAGACCGAUAGCGCACAAGUAGAGUGAUCGAAAGAUGAAAAGCACCUUGAAAAGGGGGUUAAAUAGUACGUGAAAUUGUUGAAAGGGAAGCACUUGUGACCAGACUUGGGCCGGGCGGCUCAUCAGGGGUUCUCCCCUGUGCACUCCGCCCGGCACAGGCCAGCAUCGGUUUUCGCGGGGGGAUAAGACCGCCGGGAACGUAGCACCCUCCGGGGUGUGUUAUAGCCCGGCGGACGAUACCCCCGCGGGGACCGAGGUCCGCGCUCCGCAAGGAUGCUGGCGUAAUGGUCACCAGUGACCCGUCUUGAAACACGGACCAAGGAGUCGUCCAUUAGAGCGAGCGUUUGGGUGUAAAACCCGCACGCGUAAUGAAAGUGAACGCAGGUGAGAGCUUCGGCGCAUCAUCGACCGAUCCUGAUGUUCUCGGAAGGAUUUGAGUAAGAGUUUUAACGGACGGACCCGAAAGACAGUGAACUAUGCUUGUAUAGGGUGAAGCCAGAGGAAACUCUGGUGGAGGCUCGCAGCGGUUCUGACGUGCAAAUCGAUCGUCAAAUAUGAGCAUGGGGGCGAAAGACUAAUCGAACUGUCUAGUAGCUGGUUACCGCCGAAGUU